UACGGGGGGGGCAAGCGUUGUUCGGAAUUACUGGGCGUAAAGGGCUCGUAGGCGGCCAACUAAGUCCGACGUGAAAUCCCCAGGCUUAACCUGGGAACUGCGUCGGAUACUGCUUGGCUCGAGUCGGAAGAGGCGAGUGGAAUUCCCGGUGUAGCGGUGAAAUGCGCAGAUAUCGGGAGGAACACCAAUGGCGAAGGCAGCUCGCUGGGACGGUACUGACGCUGAGACGCGAAAGCGUGGGGAGCAAACAGG
rnacentral:rRNA from 1 species